UCACCGAAUUGUGUUUUAACUUUGUAUUUGCCAACACGUGAAAUUACCUUGUCCGGCAAUAGUUCCUCCAUCCUACAAGGUAUUGUGUUUGUUGAUCCCAAGGCCAUACAAAGAUAUAGGGUUUAUGCACAAUUGACCUUAACGUUUCGGACACAAAUACCAGAUGUACCCUAUCACAUACCGGAAACACGACUUAUUGGGAAGUUCUAGAUAAGCGAUCCUAACUAAUCAAGCGAAACAUUAUAACAAUCUGGUCAUAUGGUAAUCUGUUAUUACUCGAAUGGCUACACAUUGAAAAGCUAUCGGCCAGAAGUCCAUUAUAUAUUUUCUACAUCCAUAAGGCAAUUAUGAAAUCAAAUGGCGUUUUGGAUUGAUAGAAAGCCAUAAACGAAUACCUCUAAUGAUCUGGUCGAAAUAAACAUUUAUGAUGAGGGAAUAUCAAUUAGCAACAAGAAUAAUGGAACAGCUGUUUGGGACACUAAAUUCCUGUGAAGUAGCUCCAACGAUUGCAGUAGAAGAAGUACCCUCAUAAAGAAUAAAUCCGAGGCAAAAAACAGAUGUCUACAUUUGAGGGAAUGGAAACUCAAGACCAUCAAAAGCAAACCCUCGUGAAGUACAUAUGCAAACCCUCGUGAAGUACAUAUGCAAAGCCACUAAGAUGUGUUCCUAUAUCAGUCCUAAGCUGAAGUUGAAAAUCUCUAUAUCAAUUUUAUUAAUGCUAAUAUCUGCCAUGU